AGUGAACGCUGGCGGUAGGCCUAACACAUGCAAGUCGAACGGCAGCACAGUAAGAGCUUGCUCUUACGGGUGGCGAGUGGCGGACGGGUGGGGAAUACAUCGGAAUCUACUUUUUCGUGGGGGAUAGCGUAGGGAAACUUACGCUAAUACCGCAUACGACCUACGGGUGAAAGCAGGGGAUCUUCGGACCUUGCGCGAUUGAAUGAGCCGAUGUCGGAUUAGCUAGUUGGCGGGGUAAAGGCCCACCAAGGCGACGAUCCGUAGCUGGUCUGAGAGGAUGAUCAGCCACACUGGAACUGAGACACGGUCCAGACUCCUACGGGAGGCAGCAGUGGGGAAUAUUGGACAAUGGGCGCAAGCCUGAUCCAGCCAUACCGCGUGGGUGAAGAAGGCCUUCGGGUUGUAAAGCCCUUUUGUUGGGAAAGAAAAGCAGCAGGUUAAUACCCCGCUGUUCUGACGGUACCCAAAGAAUAAGCACCGGCUAACUUCGU
rnacentral:rRNA from 1 species